rnacentral:lncRNA from 1 species
GGCCUGUAGCUGCUGCACGUUAUGAGUGUGUUCCUGGCAUGACUGCUUCUAACAGCGACCAUUUCAUUAAGUUUUUAAGUGCCUGGUAAUUGCUUGGUUAUGACCGGUGUCUGCUCCAUGGCAGCCUCUUCCUGGGACCAGAUCUGAACAGUCUGGAGAGAGGAGCUGUGGUGGCAGCAGACAGAUCUCUGCUUCAGGGGCCAGGUGUCUAGAAGAAAUGCUGAGGCAGUGUCACGCUGGUGUCUGUCCUCCUUACAGAAUGCCUGAACAGUUCCAUUGACUCAAAGUGAAGAUCAAAAGAACCAAAUGACAGCAAUAGCCAAGUGUAAUCAUCAGUAACCCUGUGUUCUAUCCACAGGUAAAAAACAAUCAUCCUCUUCAUUAUGGGUUUCAAUUUUAAAUGUAAUACAUUUUUAGAAAUGCCUA